GAUGAACGCUGGCGGCGUGCCUAAUACAUGCAAGUCGAGCGAACAGACGAGGAGCUUGCUCCUCUGACGUUAGCGGCGGACGGGUGAGUAACACGUGGAUAACCUACCUAUAAGACUGGGAUAACUUCGGGAAACCGGAGCUAAUACCGGAUAAUAUAUUGAACCGCAUGGUUCAAUAGUGAAAGACGGUUUUGCUGGCACUUAUAGAUGGAUCCGCGCCGCAUUAGUUAGUUGGUAAGGUAACGGCUUACCAAGGCAACGAUGCGUAGCCGACCUGAGAGGGUGAUCGCCCACACUGGAACUGAGACACGGUCCAGACUCCGACGGGAGGCAGCAGUAGGGAAUCUUCCGCAAGGGGCGAAAGCCUGACGUAGCAACACCGCGUGAGUGAUGAAGGUCUUCGGAUCGUAAAACUCUGUUAUUAGGAAAGAACAAAUGUGUAAGUAACUAUGCACGUCUUGACGGUACCUAAUCAGAAAGCCACGGCUAACUACGUG
rnacentral:rRNA from 1 species